CAAAAUGGAUCCGUAACUUCG
rnacentral:ncRNA from 2 species